AUACGGAGGGUGCAAGCGUUACUCGGAAUCACUGGGCGUAAAGGAUGCGUAGGCGGAUAAUCAAGUCAAAAGUGAAAUCCUACAGCUUAACUGUAGAACUGCUUUCGAAACUGGUUAUCUCGAAUAUGGAAGAGGCAGAUGGAAUUAGUGGUGUAGGGGUAAAAUCCGUAGAGAUCACUAGGAAUACCGAUUGCGAAGGCGAUCUGCUGGGACAUUAUUGACGCUGAGGCAUGAAAGCGUGGGGAGCAAACAGGAUUAGAAACCCUAGUAGUCC
rnacentral:rRNA from 1 species